CUUACUUAUUGUUGACACUCCAUGUUAAGCUGGGACAGGAGAAAGUAUUUCAACAUUGAAAAAAUGACACACUUCAGUUUUAAGUCUACUUACUGCUCUGGAAAAUGAAAACAAAUAUGAAUUUCUUCCAUGAAACACAAACGCGGAAGUUCCAAAGAAGAAAAGAAGUCAUGGGUUUGGAACAACAUUAAGGGAAGGUCAACACAAUCCAUCUUGGUGAGUUAAUUGUUUCCAGUCAGCUGUUGGAGCUACUGGAAUGUUGGCUUCUAUCAACAUAUCCAAUGACCUGUCAAUUACAUUCUGACUUCCGCAUGACUUCCUGUCAGAGGAAGGUCUCUUCACUUCACACACUCAGCUGGACAGAGACUCGCAUUAGAGACAAGGAUGUGGUCAGACUGUACAGAGGUCUCAGCCCUUGAUGCUUUUGUGCUGGAGAGAAAUGCAGCCUUAUUGUAAUACUGUAUAAAACAUUUACAGUGUUGAUUCUUGAGAUAUGGGACAAAAAAUGUCCCACAGUUUUACCUGCCAUUAGUAUUCAAAAUAGCAAUACUACUACUAUGAUGAAAAAUAUACAUCUUUAAUAAGGUUUUACAGCAUCACAGUCCAUAUACUUUUUGUCAAAACGGUCAGAUAUUUAUGAAAACAUUAAAAAGUUGUCAAUUUCAAAGUCAGACUUCAUCUUGAAGGCCAUCUUUCCACAUUUCACCUGAUUCAAGGGCAAACAGGCUCCAUUGUGUUUUUUUAAAUUUUAUUUAUUGUUUUUUUUAUUGC